UUAUAGGGAAUUAAAUACAAUAAAAUAAAGCAUCCUACUGAGGUCAGACAUCUGAGAACAACAGGUUAGUCAAAUCCUCAUUCCUGUGAAAUUUACCAAGGGGCUUUUAAAAUGGCCAAACGUUAAAGUAUCUAGCAUGAUGCUUGAAAUAUAAUAUGUGGAAAUACACUAAACUAAAAUGACCCUGUCCAGUCUCAUGGCUUCAAAUACCAGCCCCAUGCUAAUGAUCAAAUUUUCUAUGCAUUCAAAUCUCCCGAACUCAGAUUUAGAUAUCUAACAUCUCUACUGGUUUCUUCACCUGUUUCCCACAUCAAACUUCUUUCUUUUCUUAAUCCAUUUCCCCCCACCUUUUCCAUUAUAUUAAUCAUAAUUAAAUAGGGACGUUUGGCUCAGGCUCUGAAAUUUGACUCACAUCCCAUGUCAAAUUCAACACCAAAUCCUCUCAACUCUACUUUAAAAAUAUUUUCAAAAUAUGACCACUUCUCUCCACUACAACUCUAGCUCAAAUCAUCCUAUCUUUUUCCUAGGUGAUUGCAAUAACAUCUCACUACCUGGAUCUACUCUUUGUCCUAUAGUCAAUUCUUAUCUCAGCAGACAGCAGACUAUUAAAGCUGUGAACCAUAUCAGCCUCUAUUGCCUUCUGUAGCUUCCAUUUCACCUCCAUAGAAAUCUCCACGAUGACAUCUAAGACUCUCUAUGGUUGGUCCCUCUUCUUGCCUUACAACUAAAAACUCUUCUACCAUUUCCACGGUAUUCACUCUGCUGUAGCAGGGAGACCUAUUUGCUGUCCCUUAAACAAAGCAGAUGUCUUUCUCCUCUGGUCUUUGCAUUUGCUGGUCCUAUUACUAGCAGUGUUAUUUUUUACAUCCACUUGAUGACUUCCCUCAUCUCCUUCAAGUCCUUGAUGGAGAAUGUUCUUAUACAGUAAGGACGUACCUGGCAACCAUAUUUAAAACAGAAUCUUCAGUCCCAUGUCCAGAACUCUUUAUGCGCCUUCUCUGUUUUAUAAUAGUUUGAGAAAAUCAGUAAGUGUUUUGGGGACACAGCACUUACCACCACCUGACAUAAUUAGGCAUAAAACUGUAUUUCUUAAUUAUUUUCUUUCUUAUAUAUUUGUUUGCCUUUCAUCAUCUAAGCAUUUAGCAGAAGUUGUCUAUGUUAUUCACCAUGGUAUUCCUAAUUCCUUAAAAAGUGUUGGAUAUAAAACAAACAUACAUUGAACAUUUGUUGAAUAAAAGAAUUAUAUGUAAAAUUACGGUCAAGAAUUUUUCGAGGGGAAAACUCUUAUCCUCUAAACACAUUUAUUUGGAUACCUGGUAAAUUAUACUAUAAUUAACUUGGGAAAUAAACUUGUUCCUCUUAUGUUAAUUGAGGGAAGCUUUGGCAGGAGCAUUCUGCUUCAUCUCCAAGUAUUUUAAUCAAAGCCUAUUGUUAUUUUUUUCAAAUAUGACAACCCUAUGGGACCCACCGAGCUGAAGAUUAGUGAAGAUUAGCUGGGACACCCAGUUCCUGUUCUCAUUGUGGAGUGCCAGAUUUCCUGGGCAAACAGUCAAAAAGAAGCAUUGGAGAAGACACUUGAUGUCACAUUAAUGAAAGGGAAUAAUGGAUUAAGGAAAGCUUGGUAGCAAAAAGAAGUUAAAAUAUAUCUGAGAAAAGUAUUUUAAACCAUAAAUAACUUGUAAGUAUCUGCAAAUAUAUGUUUAUUAUAAAAUAUUCAAAUAAGAGAAAUGUAUAGAAAAAAAC
rnacentral:lncRNA from 1 species